rnacentral:misc_RNA from 1 species
CAGAGUUCUCGCCCUCGCGGGUAGAUCUCCCACCCACUGUUAUUGCUACUGUGUUGCUUUGGCGGGCUGCUAGGCCCAGCCUGGCCGCCGGCUCUGGCGGGCGCGCGCCAGAGGCCCGAUUAAUUCUGAUUGUCAGUGUCGUCUGAGUACUAUAUAAUAGUUA